rnacentral:misc_RNA from 1 species
UACAGAGGUCCCAAGCGUUGUUCGGAUUCACUGGGCGUAAAGGGUGCGUAGGCGGUGGGAUAAGUCUGGUGUGAAAGCUCGGAGCUCAACUCCGAAAUUGCAUUGGAAACUAUCUCACUUGAGGUUUGGAGGGGGGACUGGAAUUCUCGGUGUAGCAGUGAAAUGCGUAGAUAUCGAGAGGAACACCAGUGGCGAAGGCGAGUCCCUGGACAAAUCCUGACGCUGAGGCACGAAAGCUAGGGGAGCAAACAGG